CUGGCAAGCCACGAUGAGGGCUGCUACCCUUCUCCACUCUCUAUAACAGAUUUUGCAUGGCUCCACCACUCUAUAGCAAGUCACGAUAACGGACACCACUCCACUCUCCGUAACAAACUUCACGUGACCCUGAACGACCCCUGAUGCCACUACUUUUCGUAACAAACUCCGGGCGGCUCUGAACAGCCCACUACCAGAUGGUUACAGACGUCGCUGUCAAUCAGUUACG
rnacentral:lncRNA from 1 species